GAUACCCUAUUAUAAAAAAUAUACUUUUUUAUUUAAAGUAGUAAUAGUUAUGAUCUUGAAACUUAAAAAAUUUGGCGGUAUUUUAGUCUAUUCAGAGGAACUUGUUUUAUAAUCGAUAUUCCUCGUUGAACCUUACUUAAAAUAGUUGUCAGUUUAUAUACCGUUGUUAUAGAAUAUUUUAAAAGAAUAAUAAUUUUCAAUAAAUUGAAUUGAAUUAUAUAUCAAAUCAAGGUGUAGCUUAUAUUUAAGUAAAAAUGAGUUACAAUAAAAUUAUUUAAAAUGAAUAUAAAUAUGAAAAAUUUAUUGAAAGUGGAUUUGAUAGUAAAUUUAUGAAGAGAAAUAAAUUGAUUUUAGCUCUAAAAUAUGUACACAUCGCCG
rnacentral:rRNA from 1 species